CCCUUAGAUGUCCUGGGCCGCACGCGUGCUACACUGAUGCAUACAGCGAGCACUUCCCGGCCCCGAGAGGCGGCUGGUAAUCAGCAAUAUGCAUCGUGAUGGGGAUAGAUCUUUGGAAUUCUUGAUCUUGAACGGGGAAUGCCUAGUAGGCGCAAGUCAUUACCUUGCGUCGAUUAAGUCCCUGCCCUUUGUACACACCGCCCGUCGCUCCUACCGAUUUGAGUGAUCCGGUGAACCUUUUGGACCGGGCCGUUCGCGACCUGGGAAAUCAAGUAAACCACGUCACUUAGAGGAAGGAGAAGUCGUAACA
rnacentral:rRNA from 1 species